rnacentral:sRNA from 1 species
AGGCAUCGAAACGGUUCACCUCCUCCCGAACGCGUUUCGGUCCGACGGACAGCACUCCUCCUCCCAGCUGUCAGUCCUAAUUGAAAGCCCGGUGCACCUCCUCCCGCACCGGGCUUUUUCU